UGUACCUGUCCAUAAUAGGCCAAAGGUGUGUGUGUGUACCUGUCCAUCAUAGGUCACAGGUGUGUGUGUGUACCUGUCCAUCAUAGGUCACAGGUGUGUGUGUGUGUACCUGUCCAUCAUAGGUCACAGGUGUGUGUGUGUACCUGUCCAUCAUAGGUCACAGGUGUGUGUGUGUGUACCUGUCCAUCAUAGGUCACAGGUGUGUGUGUGUGUGUACCUGUCCAUCAUAGGCAGCUACACUUGCUGUGUUGAUGAUACAGCCUCUGUGUCCGUCUGCGUCUGGUUCGUUCUUCCCCAUCUCACCAACAGCCAAUCGGA